rnacentral:lncRNA from 1 species
UUGACCUCUGCAGCGCCUGGAUUGUGACAAGCAAAAGUGCGAUUCUGAUGUUGCCAUUUACUCUGUGCAGAAUGGAGUGUCUCAGCCUCAAACAGCCACGUACAGGCCAACAGACUCAACAAGCAUGACUGAUCAUGAAGACUCUGGAAGCCCUCAGGCAGCUCAUGAAGCCCCAGACUCUUUGUUAACACUGAGACUGUCUCCAGCGAAGUCUUGGGCCCUGCUAACAGUCUCUGUCUCCUCUUCACUGCCUUGUCCAGGAACCUCUCCAGUCUCAUUUCCAGCUGCCAGCAGGUCACAUCCAUUCAGCUUGCUAAUGGUGUUCAGCAGACCCGCACUUGGGAGAGCCCAGGAAGUCGGAAACAGGCCGGUGCCCUCGCACCAGGACGCUCCUUGGUGCUGCGGAGAAGUGAUGGGCAUCUCUCCAUCCAGACUCCUAGAAGCACAGAGUGAAGAGCGAAACCCCGUUUCACCCCCAGCCUGACCCUCCUCUCCCACAACCUCAGGAAUAAUCAUUGUUGACGGAGGCCCAUCUCUCCAGGAGCUACAGAUGAAGAGAAACGGAGAAAUUGAGGAAAGGAGACCUGGAGGAAUUUAUGCCUCGCAGAAGUGGUGUGGAAAUCAAUAUGACAAGCGGAGAAUCAGGGGUGCUGGUCCCCUAAGGUCAUCCACCAUUUUACUCUAUUCCCAAGGUUAAAUACUCAACUGCUGAGAGCCUUCUCUGACUGAGGUCCUUACUGCUCUAGCCGUCACAGGCUACAAUCUGCUGGGUCCCAGGGUGGCCGACAUGGCGAAGCCGGCCUGGUGGGAAACCCCUCUCCCCCCAAACUAAAUAAACUUACCCACUUGAAGGCCCA